UUUUCUUGUGAGUCUCUUUGCUGACUUUAUUUAGGGAGAGAUUGAGGAGCUGGAUCGAAUUUUUAAUCUUUUAGAUCCUCAGGCUUCUGCAUUGGAUCUUCCUUCUCUGCGUAAAAUAAUAGUUGAGCGGUAGAGUAUUGUUGUUGCUGUCAGAGAAUCAAUUUUCGAAGAAUGGUCUGUUGGGGACCUUUCUAUUGGAGCUUCUUCAGUUGCUCCUUCUCGUGGCUGACGUCAGAGAUGUCCCAGGCGUGCUAGGUCUCCGCAGAAUCAUGUUCUCAGGCAACUGCACCGUCGUAUUAAUUUUAAGUAGGAACUUGUAAUAUUUUUUUCCAUCACUUGUAAUCAUAUAGUUUUUCUGAAUAAAGGUAUACUUCUUUUCUUUCUUGUUUAUACCUUGUUCUUUGAUGAGUGUAUGUCAAAUUUUAUCAUA
rnacentral:lncRNA from 1 species